rnacentral:rRNA from 1 species
AACGAACGCUGGCGGCAUGCCUAACACAUGCAAGUCGAACGAGACCUUCGGGUCUAGUGGCGCACGGGUGCGUAACGCGUGGGAAUCUACCCUCAGGUUCGGAAUAACUCAGAGAAAUUUGAGCUAAUACCGGAUGAUGACGUAAGUCCAAAGAUUUAUCGCCUGAGGAUGAGCCCGCGUAGGAUUCGGUAGUUGGUGAGGUAAAGGCACACCAAGCCGACGAUCUUUAGCUGGUCUGAGAGGAUGAUCAGCCACACUGGGACUGAGACACGGCCCAGACUCCUACGGGAGGGAGCAGUGGGGAAUAUUGGACAAGGGGCGAAAGCCUGAUCCAGCAAUGCCGCGUAAGUGAUGAAGGCCUUAGGGUUGUAAAGCUCUUUUACCCGGGAUGAUAAUGACGGUACCGGGAGAAUAAGCGCCGGCUAACUCCGUG